UCCNCAGCUGAGUGCUAAUGCUGUAUUGA
rnacentral:piRNA from 1 species